UGGGGAAUAUUGCACAAUGGGCGCAAGCCUGAUGCAGCCAUGCCGCGUGUGUGAAGAAGGCCUUCGGGUUGUAAAGCACUUUCAGCGAGGAGGAAGGUGGUGAACUUAAUACGUUCAUCAAUUGACGUUACUCGCAGAAGAAGCACCGGCUAACUCCGUGCCAGCAGCCGCGGUAAUACGGAGGGUGCAAGCGUUAAUCGGAAUUACUGGGCGUAAAGCGCACGCAGGCGGUUUGUUAAGUCAGAUGUGAAAUCCCCGGGCUCAACCUGGGAACUGCAUUUGAAACUGGCAAGCUAGAGUCUCGUAGAGGGGGGCUAGAAUUCCAGGUGUAGCGGUGAAAUGCGUAGAGAUCUGGAGGAAUACCGGUGGCGAAGGCGGCCCCCUGGACGAAGACUGACGCUCAGGUGCGAAAGCGUGGGGCAGCAAACAGGAUUAGAUACCCUGGUAGUCCACGCUGUAAACGAUGUCGAUUUUGGAGGUUGUGCCCUUGAGGCGUGGCUUCCGGAGCUAACGCGUUAAAUCGACCGCCUGGGGAGUACGGCCGCAAGGUUAAAACUUAAAUGAAUUGACGGGGU
rnacentral:rRNA from 1 species